rnacentral:tRNA from 1 species
UAUAUGAUGGUGUAAGAAGCACAAAAGAUUUUGAUUCUUUAGGGGUUAGUUUGAUUCUAAUUCGUAUAAC